GAUGAACGCUAGCUACAGGCUUAACACAUGCAAGUCGAGGGGCAGCAUUUUAGUUUGCUUGCAAACUAAAGAUGGCGACCGGCGCACGGGUGAGUAACACGUAUCCAACCUGCCGAUAACUCGGGGAUAGCCUUUCGAAAGAAAGAUUAAUACCCGAUGGCAUAGUUCUUCCGCAUGGUAGAACUAUUAAAGAAUUUCGGUCAUCGAUGGGGAUGCGUUCCAUUAGCUUGUUGGCGGGGUAACGGCCCACCAAGGCAUCGAUGGAUAGGGGUUCUGAGAGGAAGGUCCCCCACAUUGGAACUGAGACACGGUCCAA
rnacentral:rRNA from 1 species